GACGAACGCUGGCGGCAUGCCUAAUACAUGCAAGUCGAGCGAACAGAUGAAGUGCUUGCACUUCUGACGUUAGCGGCGAACGGGUGAGUAACACGUAAGGAAUCUACCUAUAAGCGGGGGAUAACAUUCGGAAACGGGUGCUAAUACCGCAUAAUAUCUUCUUCCGCAUGGAAGAAGAUUGAAAGACGGCUCUGCUGUCACUUAUAGAUGACCUUGCGGUGCAUUAGUUAGUUGGUGGGGUAACGGCCUACCAAGACGAUGAUGCAUAGCCGACCUGAGAGGGUGAUCGGCCACAUUGGGACUAAGACACGGCCCAAACUCCUACGGGAGGCAGCAGUAGGGAAUCUUCCGCAAUGGGCGAAAGCCUGACGGAGCAAUGCCGCGUGAGUGAAGAAGGCCUUCGGGUCGUAAAACUCUGUUAUAAGAGAAGAACAAAUUGUAGAGUAACUGCUACAGUCUUGACGGUAUCUUAUCAGAAAGCCACGGCUAACUACGUGCCAGCCGCCGCCGAAA
rnacentral:rRNA from 1 species